rnacentral:lncRNA from 1 species
ACUCUAUGAUUAUGACCUGAUAACAGGGGUUAACUACCCUUUAGUGCCCUAAAAAGUGAGACUCCAUGUGUUCAAUGGUUACACCUGAAUUGUCUAUAAAGGGGAGGUAAGGGGACAACAAUGGUAAGAGGCUUUUUCUGAACUAAACUCUGCCAGAAUUCUACUUCAAAUAUCCCAUUCACCACUCUCCACUUACUUAGGCAUCACAGAGCCUUUAUCGGAUAAAAAUCCAGUCAGUCGACUUCUUUUACAGGUUGCUCUUCACCGAAGUCAAGCACAUUCAAAAAUUAACCGUAAUAGAUUGGCGCACU